rnacentral:rRNA from 1 species
AGCAGCCGCGGUAAUUCCAGCUCCAAUAGCGUAUAUUAAAGUUGCUGCAGUUAAAAAGCUCGUAGUUGAAUUUCGGGACUAAUAUGUUGGUCGUGCCUCGGUACGUACUGAUAUUUUUGGUUUCUCCCUUCUGACGAACCUUGAUGUCAUUAAUUUGGUGUCUUGGGAAAUCAGGACUGUUACUUUGAAAAAAUUAGAGUGUUUAAAGCAGGCUCACGCUUGAAUACAUUAGCAUGGAAUAAUGAAAUAGGACGUUUGAUUCUAUUUUGUUGGUUUCUAGGAUCGACGUAAUGAUUAAUAGGGAUAGUUGGGGGCAUUAGUAUUCAAUUGUCAGAGGUGAAAUUCUUGGAUUUAUUGAAGACUAACUACUGCGAAAGCAUUUGCCAAGGAUGUUUUCAUUAAUCAAGAACGAAAGUUAGGGGAUCGAAGACGAUCAGAUACCGUCGUAGUCUUAACCAUAAACUAUGCCGACUAGGGAUCGGAUGAUGUUAAUUUUUUAAUGACUCAUUCGGCGCCUUAU